rnacentral:rRNA from 1 species
UACGGGGGGGGCAAGCGUUGUUCGGAAUUACUGGGCGUAAAGGGCUCGUAGGUGGCCAUGUAAGUCAUACGUGAAAUCCCUCAGCUUAACUGGGGAACUGCGCCUGAUACUGGUUGGCUUGAGUUUGGGAGAGGGACGCGGAAUUCCAGGUGUAGCGGUGAAAUGCGUAGAUAUCUGGAGGAACACCGGUGGCGAAGGCGGCGUCCUGGACCAAUACUGACACUGAGGAGCGAAAGCCAGGGGAGCAAACGGG